CGUGUAGGCGGAGAUGCAAGUUGGGAGUGAAAUCCCGGGGCUCAACCCCGGAACCUGCUUUCUAAAACUAGUAUCCCUUCGAGUGUCGGAGAGGCAAGCGGAAUUCCUAGUGUAGCGGUGAAAUGCGUAGAUAUUAGGAGGAACACCAGUGGCGAAGGCGGCUUGCUGGACGAUAACUGACGCUGAGGCGCGAAAGCGUGGGGAGCAAACA
rnacentral:rRNA from 1 species